rnacentral:rRNA from 1 species
UACGUAGGGCGCGAGCGUUGUCCGGAAUUAUUGGGCGUAAAGAGCUCGUAGGCGGCCUGUUGCGUCCGCUGUGAAAGCCCGGGGCUUAACCCCGGGUCGGCAGUGGAUACGGGCAGGCUAGAGGUAGGUAGGGGAGAAUGGAAUUCCCGGUGUAGCGGUGAAAUGCGCAGAUAUCGGGAGGAACACCGGUGGCGAAGGCGGUUCUCUGGGCCUUACCUGACGCUGAGGAGCGAAAGCGUGGGGAGCAAACAGG